UACGUAGGGGGCUAGCGUUAUCCGGAAUUACUGGGCGUAAAGGGCGCGUAGGCGGCUUUUCAAGUGACGGGUGAAAUCCCUCGGCUUAACCGAGGAACUGCCUGUCAGACUGGAAGGCUUGAGACCGGGAGAGGUGAGUGGAAUUCCCAGUGUAGCGGUGAAAUGCGUAGAUAUUGGGAGGAACACCAGUGGCGAAGGCGGCUCACUGGACCGGAACUGACGCUGAGGCGCGAAAGCGUGGGGAGCAAACAGG
rnacentral:rRNA from 1 species